rnacentral:rRNA from 1 species
UACGGAGGGUGCAAGCGUUAUCCGGAUUCACUGGGUUUAAAGGGUGCGUAGGUGGAUUGGUAAGUCAGUGGUGAAAUCUCCGGGCUUAACUCGGAAACUGCCAUUGAUACUAUCAGUCUUGAAUACCGUGGAGGUCAGUAGAAUAUGUCAUGUAGCGGUGAAAUGCUUAGAUAUGACAUAGAAUACCAAUUGCGAAGGCAGCUGGCUACACGAGCAUUGACACUCAGGCACGAAAGCGUGGGGAUCAAACAGG